rnacentral:rRNA from 1 species
UACGGAGGGUGCUAGCGUUGUUCGGAAUCACUGGGCGUAAAGGGCGUGUAGGCGGUCUGUUAAGUCUGAUGUGAAAUCCCCUCGCUCAACGAGGGAACUGCGUCGGAUACUGGCAGACUUGAGUACCGGAGAGGAAGGUGGAAUUCCCGGUGCAGCGGUGAAAUGCGUAGAUAUCGGGAGGAACACCGGUGGCGAAGGCGGCCUUCUGGACGGAUACUGACGCUGAGACGCGAAAGCGUGGGGAGCAAACAGG